rnacentral:rRNA from 1 species
UACGUAGGGCGCAAGCGUUGUCCGGAAUUAUUGGGCGUAAAGAGCUCGUAGGCGGUUUGUCGCGUCUGCUGUGAAAACCUAAGGCUCAACCUUGGGCUUGCAGUGGGUACGGGCAGACUAGAGUGCGGUAGGGGUGACUGGAAUUCCGUGGUGUAGCGGUGGAAUGCGCAGAUAUCAGGAGGAACACCGAUGGCGAAGGCAGGUCACUGGGCCGCAACUGACGCUGGAGGAGCGAAAGCAUGGGGAGCGAAC